rnacentral:rRNA from 1 species
AGUGAACGCUGGCGGUAAGCCUAACACAUGCAAGUCGAACGGCAGCACAGUAAGAGCUUGCUCUUACGGGUGGCGAGUGGCGGACGGGUGAGGAAUACAUCGGAAUCUACUUUUUCGUGGGGGAUAACGUAGGGAAACUUACGCUAAUACCACAUACGACCUACGGGUGAAAGCAGGGGAUCUUCGGACCUUGCGCGAUUGAAUGAGCCGAUGUCGGAUUAGCUAGUUGGCGGGGUAAAGGCCCACCAAGGCGACGAUCCGUAGCUGGUCUGAGAGGAUGAUCAGCCACACUGGAACUGAGACACGGUCCAGACUCCUACGGGAGGCAGCAGUGGGGAAUAUUGGACAAUGGGCGCAAGCCUGAUCCAGCCAUACCGCGUGGGUGAAGAAGGCCUUCGGGUUGUAAAGCCCUUUUGUUGGGAAAGAAAAGCAGCAGGUUAAUACCCCGCUGUUCUGACGGUACCCAAAGAAUAAGCACCGGCUAACUUCGUG